rnacentral:tRNA from 3 species
GGUAGCGUGGCCGAGUGGUCUAUGGCGCUGUGUUCAGGUACGGUUGUUACUUUAACCGCAGUCUUCGGGCGCGGGUUCGAAUCCCGUCGCUGCCA